rnacentral:rRNA from 1 species
CCUACGGGUGGCAGCAGUGAGGAAUAUUGGUCAAUGGGCGUAAGCCUGAACCAGCCAAGUCGCGUGAGGGAUGAAGGUUCUAUGGAUCGUAAACCUCUUUUAUAAGGGAAUAAAGUGUGGGACGUGUCCUAUUUUGUAUGUACCUUAUGAAUAAGGAUCGGCUAACUCCGUGCCAGCAGCCGCGGUCAUACGGAGGAUCCGAGCGUUAUCCGGAUUUAUUGGGGUUAAAGGGUGCGUAGGCGGCCUUUUAAGUCAGCGGUGAAAGUCUUUGGCUCAACCAUAGAAUUGCCGGUGAAACUGGGGGGCUUGUGUAUGUUUGAGGCAGGCGGAAUGCGUGGUGUAGCGGUGAAAUGCUUAGAUAGCACGCAGAACCCCGAUUGCGAAGGCAGCCUGCCAAGCCAUGACUGACGCUGAUGCACGAAAGCGUGGGGAUCAAACAGGAUUAGAUACCCCAGUAGUC